AGCUCCAAUAGCGUAUACUAACGUUGUUGCAGUUAAAAAGCUCGUAGUUGGAUUUCUGGUGUUCGGAUGUCUGGUCGAGCCGCGUGUUUGACUGGGCGUCCGAGUACCAAAAUUUGCCACUAGCGUGCAUCAUUCAUUCACUUGGAUGUGUUCGUCAAUGGCUCGUUUACUUUGAGAAAAUUAGAGUGUUCAAAGCAGGCUUCACGCCUUGAAUAUGUUAGCAUGGAAUAAUAACAUAGGACUUUGGUUCUAUUUGUUGGUUGUUCGAGAACUAGAGUAAUGAUUGAUAGGGACGGUUGGGGGCAUCCGUAUUCUCAAGCGAGAGGUGAAAUUCUUGGACCUUGGGAAGACGAACAGAUGCGAAAGCGUUUGCCAAGGACGUUCUC
rnacentral:rRNA from 1 species